UUACGCAGAGCUACUUUCUCGGUAAUAUUAAAAGCACCGUCUACCUUGUAAAUCUAGAACUUUCACGAGGACCUCAUACCGAGGACGCACCUGUGAUGACCGCGACGAGAAAUGGGAAGGUACGACAGUAUAGCUUCGUGUACUAUGAUGACGAAGAGAAGUGUGCUGUUUUAACGUUCCUCGACCAACCA